rnacentral:rRNA from 1 species
CCGGCGAUUUCCGAAUGGGGAAACCCAGUGUGAUUCGUCACACUAUCAUUAACUGAAUCCAUAGGUUAAUGAGGCGAACCGGGGGAACUGAAACAUCUAAGUACCCCGAGGAAAAGAAAUCAACCGAGAUUCCCCCAGUAGCGGCGAGCGAACGGGGAGGAGCCCAGAGCCUGAAUCAGUGUGUGUGUUAGUGGAAGCGUCUGGAAAGGCGCGCGAUACAGGGUGACAGCCCCGUACACAAAAAUGCACAUGCUGUGAGCUCGAUGAGUAGGGCGGGACACGUGGUAUCCUGUCUGAAUAUGGGGGGACCAUCCUCCAAGGCUAAAUACUCCUGACUGACCGAUAGUGAACCAGUACCGUGAGGGAAAGGCGAAAAGAACCCCGGCGAGGGGAGUGAAAAAGAACCUGAAACCGUGUACGUACAAGCAGUGGGAGCCUCUUAAUGGGGUGACUGCGUACCUUUUGUAUAAUGGGUCAGCGACUUAUAUUCUGUAGCAAGGUUAACCGAAUAGGGGAGCCGAAGGGAAACCGAGUCUUAACUGGGCGUUAAGUUGCAGGGUAUAGACCCGAAACCCGGUGAUCUAGCCAUGGGCAGGUUGAAGGUUGGGUAACACUAACUGGAGGACCGAACCGACUAAUGUUGAAAAAUUAGCGGAUGACUUGUGGCUGGGGGUGAAAGGCCAAUCAAACCGGGAGAUAGCUGGUUCUCCCCGAAAGCUAUUUAGGUAGCGCCUCGUGAAUUCAUCUCCGGGGGUAGAGCACUGUUUCGGCAAGGGGGUCAUCCCGACUUACCAACCCGAUGCAAACUGCGAAUACCGGAGAAUGUUAUCACGGGAGACACACGGCGGGUGCUAACGUCCGUCGUGAAGAGGGAAACAACCCAGACCGCCAGCUAAGGUCCCAAAGUCAUGGUUAAGUGGGAAACGAUGUGGGAAGGCCCAGACAGCCAGGAUGUUGGCUUAGAAGCAGCCAUCAUUUAAAGAAAGCGUAAUAGCUCACUGGUCGAGUCGGCCUGCGCGGAAGAUGUAACGGGGCUAAACCAUGCACCGAAGCUGCGGCAGCGACGCUUAUGCGUUGUUGGGUAGGGGAGCGUUCUGUAAGCCUGUGAAGGUGGCCUGUGAGGGUUGCUGGAGGUAUCAGAAGUGCGAAUGCUGACAUAAGUAACGAUAAAGCGGGUGAAAAGCCCGCUCGCCGGAAGACCAAGGGUUCCUGUCCAACGUUAAUCGGGGCAGGGUGAGUCGACCCCUAAGGCGAGGCCGAAAGGCGUAGUCGAUGGGAAACAGGUUAAUAUUCCUGUACUUGGUGUUACUGCGAAGGGGGGACGGAGAAGGCUAUGUUGGCCGGGCGACGGUUGUCCCGGUUUAAGCGUGUAGGCUGGUUUUCCAGGCAAAUCCGGAAAACCAAGGCUGAGGCGUGAUGA